rnacentral:piRNA from 1 species
UCAUUGGAUGAGAGAGAAGGAUGGGCGGGA